UACGUAGGGACCAAGCGUUGUCCGGAUUUAUUGGGCGUAAAGAGCGUGUAGGCGGCCAGGUAGGUCUGCUGUGAAAACUCGAGGCUCAACCUCGAGACGCCGGUGGAAACCAUCAGGCUAGAGUCCGGAAGAGGAGAGUGGAAUUCCUGGUGUAGCGGUGAAAUGCGCAGAUAUCAGGAAGAACACCCGUGGCUAAGGCGGCUCUCUGGGACGGUACUGACGCUGAGACGCGAAAGCGUGGGGAGCGAACAGG
rnacentral:rRNA from 1 species